rnacentral:rRNA from 1 species
UACGUAGGGUGCGAGCGUUUAAUCGGAAUUACUGGGCGUAAAGCGUGCGCAGGCGGUUCGUUAAGUCCGAUGUGAAAGCCCCGAGCUCAACUUGGGAACUGCAUUGGAAACUGGCGGGCUGGAGUGUGGCAGAGGGGGGGUGGAAUUCCACGUGUAGCAGUGAAAUGCGUAGAGAUGUGGAGGAACACCGAUGGCGAAGGCAGCCCCCUGGGCCAACACUGACGCUCAGGCACGAAAGCGUGGGGAGCAAACAGG